UAGAAUUCCACGUGUAGCGGUGAAAUGCGUAGAGAUGUGGAGGAAUACCGGUGGCGAAGGCGGCCUUCUGGACAGAUACUGACGCUGAGAUGCGAAAGCGUGGGGAGCAAACAGGAUUAGAUACCCUGGUAGUCCACGCUGUAAACGAUGUCGAUUUGGAGUUUGUUGCCCUGAGUGAUGGGCUCCGAAGCUAACGCGAUAAAUCGACCGCCUGGGGAGUACGGCCGCAAGGUUAAAACUCAAAUGAAUUGACGGGGGCCCGCACAAGCGGUGGAGCAUGUGGUUUAAUUCGAUGCAACGCGAAGAACCUUACUGGUCUUGACAUCCACAGAAUCUUGCAGAGAUGCGAGAGUGCCUUCGGGAACUGUGAGACAGGUGCUGCAUGGCUGUCGUCAGCUCGUGUUGUGAAAUGUUGGGUUAAGUCCCGCAACGAGCGCAACCCUUAUCCUUUGUUGCCAGCGAUUCGGUCGGGAACUCAAAGGAGACUGCCGUUGAUAAAGCGGAGGAAGGUGGGGACGACGUCAAGUCAUCAUGGCCCUUACGACCAGGGCUACACACGUGCUACAAUGGCGUAUACAAAGGGAGGCGACCUCGCGAGAGCAAGCGGACCUCAUAAAGUACGUCUAAGUCCGGAUUGGAGUCUGCAACUCGACUCCAUGAAGUCGGAAUCGCUAGUAAUCGUGAAUCAGAAUGU
rnacentral:rRNA from 1 species